UCUCUCUCACGUUCUCUUUCUCUCUCUCCCUCCUCUCUCUCACGUUCUCUCUCUCUUUUCCUCCCUCUUGUCUUUCCUUGUCUCUUCCAGUGCUACGUCCACCUUUUGGAUUGCCAACCCCAAUAACAACCUCAUCAACUGUGCAGCAGCAGGCUCAGAGGAGACCGGUUUCUGGUUCCUCUUCCACCAUGUGCCUACGGGAGCCUCCGAGGGCAUGUACUCUCCUGGCCGCUCCGAACACACACCUAUGGGCCAGUUCACCAACAAUAGGGCCCACUCCAACUAGAGGGCUGGGAUGAUCCUAGACAACGGUGUAAAGACGACACAGGCCAACGACAAGGACAAGAGACCCUUCCUUUCUCUAGUGGGAGCAAG